UACCAGCACCCCGAGUGGUCGGGACGUUUAUGGGCCUAAAGCAUCCGUAGCCGGUUCUACGAGUCUUCCGUUAAAUCCAACUGCUUAACAGGUGGGCUGCGGAAGAUACUAUAGAGCUAGGAGGCGGGAGAGGCAAGCGGUACUCGAUGGGUAGGGGUAAAAUCCGUUGAUCCAUUGAAGACCACCAGUGGCGAAGGCGGCUUGCCAGAACGCGCUCGACGGUGAGGGAUGAAAGCUGGGGGGAGCAAACCGG
rnacentral:rRNA from 1 species